UGUUAUGGCGGCUGUGCGUGGGAGGCCUUCGGGCCUGCUGGGUUUGGAUCCUUGCCCCGGUCUUGCACACCUACGCACAGUUGCCACCCUA
rnacentral:antisense_RNA from 3 species